rnacentral:misc_RNA from 1 species
GAUGAAGAACGUAGCGAAAUGCGAUAAGUAAUGUGAAUUGCAGAAUUCAGUGAAUCAUCGAAUCUUUGAACGCACCUUGCACCCUUUGGCAUUCCGAAGGGUAUGCUCGUUUGAGUGUCAUUGUACUCUCACUCUCCCGAUGCUUUUGGAUCGGGAGUGGUGGACUUGGGUGUUGCUGCUUUGCUGUGGCUCGCCUCAAAUGGAGUAGUGCAACUCUUGGUUGGACAUAGUACGGCGUGAUAAGUGUCUUCGCCGGCGCCUCAUUAUAGAGGGUGGCCGAUCGGGAGCUCUGUGCUUCAAACCGUCUUCGGACAACAUCUGACAACUUGACCUCAAAUCGAGUAGGACUACCCGCUGAACUUAAGCAUAUCAAUAAGCGGAGA